UUGUGAGGUUAAGCGACUAAGCGUACACGGUGGAUGCCCUGGCAGUCAGAGGCGAUGAAGGACGUGCUAAUCUGCGAUAAGCGUCGGUGAGGUGAUAUGAACCGUUAUAACCGGCGAUUUCCGAAUGGGGAAACCCAGUGUGUUUCGACACACUAUCAUUAACUGAAUCCAUAGGUUAAUGAGGCGAACCGGGGGAACUGAAACAUCUAAGUACCCCGAGGAAAAGAAAUCAACCGAGAUUCCCCCAGUAGCGGCGAGCGAACGGGGAGGAGCCCAGAGCCUGAAUCAGUGUGUGUGUUAGUGGAAGCGUCUGGAAAGGCGCGCGAUACAGGGUGACAGCCCCGUACACAAAAAUGCACAUAUUGUGAGCUCGAUGAGUAGGGCGGGACACGUGGUAUCCUGUCUGAAUAUGGGGGGACCAUCCUCCAAGGCUAAAUACUCCUGACUGACCGAUAGUGAACCAGUACCGUGAGGGAAAGGCGAAAAGAACCCCGGCGAGGGGAGUGAAAAAGAACCUGAAACCGUGUACGUACAAGCAGUGGGAGCCUCUUUAUGGGGUGACUGCGUACCUUUUGUAUAAUGGGUCAGCGACUUAUAUUCUGUAGCAAGGUUAACCGAAUAGGGGAGCCGAAGGGAAACCGAGUCUUAACUGGGCGUUAAGUUGCAGGGUAUAGACCCGAAACCCGGUGAUCUAGCCAUGGGCAGGUUGAAGGUUGGGUAACACUAACUGGAGGACCGAACCGACUAAUGUUGAAAAAUUAGCGGAUGACUUGUGGCUGGGGGUGAAAGGCCAAUCAAACCGGGAGAUAGCUGGUUCUCCCCGAAAGCUAUUUAGGUAGCGCCUCGUGAAUUCAUCUCCGGGGGUAGAGCACUGUUUCGGCAAGGGGGUCAUCCCGACUUACCAACCCGAUGCAAACUGCGAAUACCGGAGAAUGUUAUCACGGGAGACACACGGCGGGUGCUAACGUCCGUCGUGAAGAGGGAAACAACCCAGACCGCCAGCUAAGGUCCCAAAGUCAUGGUUAAGUGGGAAACGAUGUGGGAAGGCCCAGACAGCCAGGAUGUUGGCUUAGAAGCAGCCAUCAUUUAAAGAAAGCGUAAUAGCUCACUGGUCGAGUCGGCCUGCGCGGAAGAUGUAACGGGGCUAAACCAUGCACCGAAGCUGCGGCAGCGACACUAUGUGUUGUUGGGUAGGGGAGCGUUCUGUAAGCCUGUGAAGGUGGCCUGUGAGGGUUGCUGGAGGUAUCAGAAGUGCGAAUGCUGACAUAAGUAACGAUAAAGCGGGUGAAAAGCCCGCUCGCCGGAAGACCAAGGGUUCCUGUCCAACGUUAAUCGGGGCAGGGUGAGUCGACCCCUAAGGCGAGGCCGAAAGGCGUAGUCGAUGGGAAACAGGUUAAUAUUCCUGUACUUGGUGUUACUGCGAAGGGGGGACGGAGAAGGCUAUGUUGGCCGGGCGACGGUUGUCCCGGUUUAAGCGUGUAGGCUGGUUUUCCAGGCAAAUCCGGAAAACCAAGGCUGAGGCGUGAUGACGAGGCACUACGGUGCUGAAGCGACAAAUGCCCUGCUUCCAGGAAAAGCCUCUAAGCAUCAGGUAACAUCAAAUCGUACCCCAAACCGACACAGGUGGUCAGGUAGAGAAUACCAAGGCGCUUGAGAGAACUCGGGUGAAGGAACUAGGCAAAAUGGUGCCGUAACUUCGGGAGAAGGCACGCUGAUAUGUAGGUGAAGCGACUUGCUCGUGGAGCUGAAAUCAGUCGAAGAUACCAGCUGGCUGCAACUGUUUAUUAAAAACACAGCACUGUGCAAACACGAAAGUGGACGUAUACGGUGUGACGCCUGCCCGGUGCCGGAAGGUUAAUUGAUGGGGUUAGCGGUAACGCGAAGCUCUUGAUCGAAGCCCCGGUAAACGGCGGCCGUAACUAUAACGGUCCUAAGGUAGCGAAAUUCCUUGUCGGGUAAGUUCCGACCUGCACGAAUGGCGUAAUGAUGGCCAGGCUGUCUCCACCCGAGACUCAGUGAAAUUGAACUCGCUGUGAAGAUGCAGUGUACCCGCGGCAAGACGGAAAGACCCCGUGAACCUUUACUAUAGCUUGACACUGAACAUUGAGCCUUGAUGUGUAGGAUAGGUGGGAGGCUUUGAAGUGUGGACGCCAGUCUGCAUGGAGCCGACCUUGAAAUACCACCCUUUAAUGUUUGAUGUUCUAACGUUGGCCCGUAAUCCGGGUUGCGGACAGUGUCUGGUGGGUAGUUUGACUGGGGCGGUCUCCUCCUAAAGAGUAACGGAGGAGCACGAAGGUUGGCUAAUCCUGGUCGGACAUCAGGAGGUUAGUGCAAUGGCAUAAGCCAGCUUGACUGCGAGCGUGACGGCGCGAGCAGGUGCGAAAGCAGGUCAUAGUGAUCCGGUGGUUCUGAAUGGAAGGGCCAUCGCUCAACGGAUAAAAGGUACUCCGGGGAUAACAGGCUGAUACCGCCCAAGAGUUCAUAUCGACGGCGGUGUUUGGCACCUCGAUGUCGGCUCAUCACAUCCUGGGGCUGAAGUAGGUCCCAAGGGUAUGGCUGUUCGCCAUUUAAAGUGGUACGCGAGCUGGGUUUAGAACGUCGUGAGACAGUUCGGUCCCUAUCUGCCGUGGGCGCUGGAGAACUGAGGGGGGCUGCUCCUAGUACGAGAGGACCGGAGUGGACGCAUCACUGGUGUUCGGGUUGUCAUGCCAAUGGCACUGCCCGGUAGCUAAAUGCGGAAGAGAUAAGUG
rnacentral:rRNA from 1 species